rnacentral:rRNA from 2 species
AUGGGCCUGCGGCGCAUUAGCUAGUUGGUAAGGUAACGGCUUACCAAGGCGACGAUGCGUAGCCGACCUGAGAGGGUGAUCGGCCACACUGGGACUGAGACACGGCCCAGACUCCUACGGGAGGCAGCAGUAGGGAAUCUUCCGCAAUGGACGAAAGUCUGACGGAGCAACGCCGCGUGAGUGAGGAAGGCCUUCGGGUCGUAAAGCUCUGUUGUGAGGGAAGAACAAGUACCGGCGUAACUACCGGUACCUUGACGGUACCUCACCAGAAAGCCACGGCUAACUACGUGCCAGCAGCCGCGGUAAUACGUAGGUGGCAAGCGUUGUCCGGAAUUAUUGGGCGUAAAGCGCGCGCAGGCGGCUUCUUAAGUCUGAUGUGAAAUCUCGGGGCUCAACCCCGAGCGGCCAUUGGAAACUGGGAAGCUUGAGUGCAGAAGAGGAGAGUGGAAUUCCACGUGUAGCGGUGAAAUGCGUAGAUAUGUGGAGGAACACCAGUGGCGAAGGCGACUCUCUGGUCUGUAACUGACGCUGAGGCGCGAAAGCGUGGGGAGCAAACAGGAUUAG